CAGGCAUCCUGUUCUUUCUUGUGAACAGUCUCCGUAGAGAUGAGAGGAAUCCACCCCUUGUUUUCUUCUGAUUGGCUACAGCAGUGGAUGAAACAAUGUGGCCAUCAGCGGUAGAGGUCGACAUUUUCUCAGAAGAGUGCUCCAGGCUGGUAGCAAUAGCAUCAACUUCAUGGACCGAAGCAUUGCCACUCUCGGUUGAAAACAUAGAAAUAGUGAUGACUAGUCUACUUCUCUUGGUUGAGACAUCAGCCACAUGGACCUCAGGUUGGUUGGAGUCUCUCAGUGUGGAAUCAUCACGAUCCUUCACUCUAGCGUCACUGCUGGACAGAACCUGAGACACUAGGCCUGCAGCAGACUGGAUCAGGUCAUUCUCCACGAUGGAAACACUGGUGGACAGAACCUGAGACUCUAGGCCUGCAGCAGACUGGAUCAGGUCAUUCUCCACGAUGGUAACACUGGUGGACAGAACCUGAGACACUAGGCCUGCAGCAGACUGGAUCAGGUCAUUCUCCACGAUGGAAACACUGGUGGACAGAACCUGAGACACUAGGCCUGCAGCAGACUGGAUCAGUUCAUUCUCCACGAUGGCAACACUGGUGGACAGAACCUGAGACACUAGGCCUGCAGCAGACUGGAUCAGGUUGUCUUCCUCGAUGGAAACACUGGUGGACAGAACCUGAGGAGUCUGCAGGAGUGUCAGUGGCUCCCACUCAUCCAGGAAGAAGCUCUCGACAGAAGGGAAGCUUCUUCCUUUCAGAGCUGGGGGAAUGUAGGGGGUGUACCCAACAGUCCAGAGUAGAGAGCUGUCGAUGGCAUUCACGUAGUGGUACUUGUCACCAAGUACCUCUGCAAAGCUCUGAACAAUGUUCUGACUCUCUGACUCUGGACCACCAAGGGCGUUGAGUUGGGUCACCGUUGACAUCCACCCUGAAAGAAACACCAACACAGGGUUAACUAAACUGAUUUCAGCAUUACAAGCAAGGGAUAUUCUUCAUAUUCUUCAUG
ensembl:lncRNA